ACGAGUGGAGGCGCUCCGGCGCCCGACCUCCCAACCCUUUGAUUUGAUCAAGACCUCCUUCUGCCUCGGGGCGACCCGGCCUUCGGCGGCGGUCCCCCGCGGUACCCAACCUCAACCCUGCAUCAAUUGUCGUCUGAGCAUUGAAGCGAAUUCAAUCAAAACUUUCAACAACGGAUCUCUUGGUUCUGGCAUCGAUGAAGAACGCAGCGAAAUGCGAUAAGUAAUGUGAAUUGCAGAAUUCAGUGAAUCAUCGAAUCUUUGAACGCACAUUGCGCCCUUUGGCAUUCGAAGGGCAUGCCUGUUCGAGCGUCAUUACACCAAUCAAGCCUGGCUUGGUAUUGGGCGACGGGCCGUCACACGCCCGCGCCCAAUGACCCCCGGCGGACGGACCGAAUCUCAGCGUUGUGACAAAUGCGCUGGCGAUUGACGGACGGCCGCGCCGUAAACCCCUUUCUCAAAGGUUGACCUCGGAUCAGGUAGGAAUACCCGCUGAACUUAA
rnacentral:rRNA from 1 species